CAGCAGCCGCGGUAAUACGUAGGGUCCGAGCGUUGUCCGGAAUUAUUGGGCGUAAAGGGCUCGUAGGCGGUUUGUUGCGUCGGGAGUGAAAACACCAGGCUUAACUUGGUGCUUGCUUUCGAUACGGGCAGACUUGAGGCAUGCAGGGGAGAACGGAAUUCCUGGUGUAGCGGUGAAAUGCGCAGAUAUCAGGUGGAACACCGGUGGCGAAGGCGGUUCUCUGGGCAUGUUCUGACGCUGAGGAGCGAAAGUGUGGGGAGCGAACAGGAUUAGAUACCCCUGUAGUCCCUGUCUCUUAUAC
rnacentral:rRNA from 1 species